rnacentral:rRNA from 1 species
AUACGGAGGGUGCAAGCGUUACUCGGAAUCACUGGGCGUAAAGCGCGCGCAGGCGGCUAUUUAAGUUGGAUGUGAAAGCCUACGGCUCAACCGUAGAACUGCAUCCACAACUAUUUAGCUAGAGUGUGGGAGAGGAAGAUGGAAUUAGUUGUGUAGGGGUAAAAUCCGUAGAGAUAACUAGGAAUACCAAAAGCGAAGGCAAUCUUCUGGAACACUACUGACGCUGAGGCGCGAAAGCGUGGGGAGCAAACAGAAUUAGAAACCCCAGUAGUCC